GACGUAGGGGGCAAGCGUUGUUCGGAAUUAUUGGGCGUAAAGUGCUCGUAGGCGGGACUGGAAGUCCGUGUUGAAAGACCUCGGCUCAACUGAGGGACCGGCUCGGAUACUCUAGUUCUUGAGGCAAUCAGAGGGUGAUGGAAUUCCCGGUGUAGCGGCGAAAUGCGUAGAUAUCGGGAGGAACACCGGUGGUGUAAACGGCUUUCUGGACCAUAACUGACGCUGAGGCACGAAAGCGUGGGUAGCAAACAGG
rnacentral:rRNA from 1 species